GAUAGAGAGUUGAGGCUCUAUCAAACUAUAACUAAGCUAAACCUAGAAAAACAAUAAAUAAAGAUAAAUAAAAUAAAAGAUAAAUUGAUUCAUUUCAUUGAUUGAUUCCAAAUUGAUAAGAACAUUACAUAUAUAUAUAAGACUCUUAAUGGGCCUAGAGGAUAAAGCCCAACCAAACAAAACCCAAUAGCAUAAAUGACCAACUAAUAAUAUAAAUACUAUGUCUCAUUAAUAUCUAAAUUAUUUAACUAACUACUACUUAUAAUUAUUUAACUAAUUACUCCCUAAUCUUCUAUCAAAU
rnacentral:lncRNA from 1 species